AACGAACGCUGGCGGCAUGCCUAACACAUGCAAGUCGAACGAGACCUUCGGGUCUAGUGGCGCACGGGUGCGUAACGCGUGGGAACCUGCCCUUAGGUUCGGAAUAACUCCCCGAAAGGGGUGCUAAUACCGGAUAAUGUCUUCGGACCAAAGAUUUAUCGCCGUUGGAUGGGCCCGCGUUGGAUUAGCUAGUUGGUAGGGUAAAAGCCUACCAAGGCGACGAUCCAUAGCUGGUCUGAGAGGAUGCUCAGCCACACUGGGACUGAGACACGGCCCAGACUCCUACGGGAGGCAGCAGUGGGGAAUAUUGGACAAUGGGCGAAAGCCUGAUCCAGCAAUGCCGCGUGAGUGAUGAAGGCCUUAGGGUUGUAAAGCUCUUUUACCCGGGAUGAUAAUGACAGUACCGGGAGAAUAAGCUCCGGCUAACUCCGUG
rnacentral:rRNA from 1 species